UACAGAGACUGCAAGCGUUAUUCGGAUUCACUGGGCGUAAAGGGUGCGCAGGCGGUCGUGUGUGUCAGAUGUGAAAUCCCGGGGCUUAACUCCGGAACUGCGUCUGAAACUGCAUGACUAGAGCAUUGGAGAGGGUAGUGGAAUUCACGGUGUAGCAGUGAAAUGCGUAGAUAUCGUGAGGAACACCAGAGGCGAAGCCGACUACCUGGACAAUUGCUGACGCUCAGGCACGAAAGCAUGGGGAGCAAAAGGG
rnacentral:rRNA from 1 species